AGCUAUCACAAAAUAGAUGUUCAAAGGAAAGGGAUUUGCAAUAAAGAAAUAAAAACUAUUUUUUGUCUACUUUUCCAGGUAUACAGCACUGAAUGUUAUAUCAGAAAUUAAACAUAACACUUCAUCCUUUAUUUUUCUUCAUUUUCUAUUCUAUUUUUCUUUCAAAGUUUUUUAUCUUUUAAAAUAUAUUGUAUCGUGUUUAUUUACAUUGUUUCAUUGAGUCUUUAGAACCCAUCAGAGUUCUAUAUUGCAUGUUUAUAUUGCAGCAAAAGUUAUUGGUCCUUUAAUUUGUUUUUAACUACUACAUGAACAUCUAUUUUUUAAAAAAAAAUUAAAAGAAAGAAGCAUAUUUCAGUGCAGGAAAAGCUAGUACAAACCAGGCUUUAUUAUAUAGAAUGUUUUUUCUUUAAGGUAUUAUCAUUAUUAUUUGAACACAGUUCAAAUUAAUGUCAGAAUUAAGAAAUUGUUGUUUUACUGUUUUUCAGCUGUUAAUAGGUUACGAGAAUGGCACUGUGGUGUUCUGGGACUUGAAAUCUAAAAGAGCAGAACUGAGAGUUUAUUAUGAUGAGGUAAGUGCUUUCUGAUGACGUUUUUGAAAGCUGUGGGGACUACAUUUUUAUCACUUCUUCACUCUGAAGUCUUGUGCUUUACUAAUAUCUUUAAUCACUGAGACUCCACUUGUUCUUACUCAGGGCUUAAUUGUCUUUUGUUAUUCGUGUAGCAAUAACAUCUGUCAAUUUUUAAACAGGAAUUCUGCUGUGACUGCCAAUUUGGGAGAACAUUACCUAUUUUUGGCUAUGUAUAUAUUCUUUUGCUUACCAUGUAUUCUUGAUUUGUCUUAUCUCCCUUUCGUUUUUGUAGGCUCCAUACUCACAUCUUGCUUUUUGACCUUCAGGUUUCUAAGGGCAAUAUCCAUACUUUCCUUAGAGAAUUUGUUUUCUGUGGCUAACCGAUCAAGACAGUUUUACAGCUUUUUUUCUUAUAUUACUUCAUAGAAUAAUGAAGUAUUUUGAGAAUAAGACCAAAUAAGUGACAAUAAGUAUCAAGAUUAAUUUUAUUAUGUACAAUUUACAUAAUUGAGGUUUGAUUAGGUUUCUCCCAGAUGACAUUUUUGAUCUAGGCCAUUAAUAAUUCUCCAUUAAAAAAUGCUGCAUGAAGACAGUGCAGCUGGCAUAGAAGAUGAAAAGGGAAGAUUAACUUUUGCAGCUGUAGAAACAAAGAUGAUCAGAUGUACCAUAAAUUAGAAGUAAGGUAGGAGUGGGAGAAGAUAGAAGGAAAAUACAGAUUGAAAGCUCUGCCUAGUUAACAUUCACACUUGUUUAUAUAUAUUGUCACAUAAUUUAAGACAUAAACAGAAAAAGAGCCUCUCCCAUCUAUUUAUUUUAGAACACUUCAUUUUAGAUUAGAGGAAUAAAAAAUGGACUUCUAAUAGCCUUGGAAUAUUUGACAGUAUUCAUCUUUUUUUCCCCUAUUUUAUCACAACAAUUAAAAAUUUACAGUUUGGAUGCCUAAAGAUAUAUUUCAUGAUGGUUAAGAGCAUGUAUGGCUAUUGAUAAGUCUAGAAUUUGCUUCCACUCCAAAUAUCUGGUAGCUCUCAACUACAUGUAACUCCAGCUCCAUGGAAUCUGAGUCUCUCUUCUGGCACUUCACUCACGUGCACACACCCACACAUGUAUGUUUACACGUUAUUAAACAAUCAAAAUAAAAUAUUACUAAAUGUUGUAUUUCAUAAAAUCUAUAGUUCAUUUCCUAAUGGUUCUCUCAAAGUAAAAUUUAUGGCAUGUAUGAGAUAGUUACAUUGCCAGAGUCCAGAAGUUAGUUGUGCAGUAUCUGAGCAAUUUAGUCAUGAUUGGAAAAAAACAACCAUGAAGGAAACAUCAUACAAUUAUGCUCUUCAUAUCAAUUUCUAGUACAUCUGAAUCAUAAGAAAAAAAAAUAACUCCAAGGAGCUAGGCUAAUUUUUUUUUUUUGCUGCUGCUGUUAAAUACACAAAAAUACAAAGGUAUGAUAUACAUGUUUCUUCCUUUUACAAGAAAAGAGCUAGAGAAAAGCCCAAACACUGUUUAGCCUGCUAGAAUUAGAAAAGACUAGAUC
rnacentral:lncRNA from 1 species